GAGUUUGAUCCUGGCUCAGGAUGAACGCUGGCGGCAUGCCUAAGACAUGCAAGUCGAACGAGAUGGCCCAGUGAAGGUUGAGUGCUUGCACGAGACUGAAUCUGGAUUCCCAUCUAGUGGCAGACGGGUGAGUAACACGUGGGUGACCUACCUUUUCGUUGGGGAUAACAGUUGGAAACGAUUGCUAAUACCGAAUAAAAUGUAAGAGUCAAUUUUACAUUGAAAGGAGCCUUUAAAGCUUCGCGAUUAGAUGGGCCUGCGGCGUAUUAACUAGUUGGCGAGGUAAUGGCUUACCAAGGUGACGAUGCGUAGCCGAACUGAGAGGUUGAUCGGCCACAUUGGGACUGAGACACGGCCCAAACUCCUACGGGAGACAGCAGUUAGGAAUAUUCGUCAAUGGAGGAAACUCUGAACGAGCAAUGCCGCGUGAGUGAUGAAGGUCUUAUAGAUUGUAAAACUCUGUUGUAUGGAAAAAACGGCUAGGUUAGGAAAUGAACUUAGUGUGAUGGUACCAUACCAGAAAGCCCCGGCUAACUACGUGCCAGCCGCCGCGGUAAUUC
rnacentral:rRNA from 1 species